rnacentral:rRNA from 1 species
GAGUUUGAUCCUGGCUCAGGAUGAACGCUGGCGGCGUGCCUAACACAUGCAAGUCGAGCGAAGCGCUAUACUUGAAUUCUUCGGAAGGAAAGUAUUGUGACUGAGCGGCGGACGGGUGAGUAACGCGUGGGUAACCUGCCUCAUACAGGGGGAUAACAGUUAGAAAUGACUGCUAAUACCGCAUAAGACCACAGCACCGCAUGGUGCGGGGGUAAAAACUCCGGUGGUAUGAGAUGGACCCGCGUCUGAUUAGCUAGUUGGUAAGGUAAGGGCUUACCAAGGCGACGAUCAGUAGCCGACCUGAGAGGGUGACCGGCCACAUUGGGACUGAGACACGGCCCAAACUCCUACGGGGGGCAGCAGUGGGGAAUAUUGCACAAUGGGGGAAACCCUGAUGCAGCGACGCCGCGUGAGUGAUGAAGUAUUUCGGUAUGUAAAGCUCUAUCAGCAGGGAAGAAAAUGACGGUACCUGACUAAGAAGCACCGGCUAAAUACGUGCCAGCAGCCGCGGU